rnacentral:tRNA from 1 species
GGUCUCGUAGUCUAGUGGUUAGGACCCCGGAUUCUGAGAUCUCAUUUUCUUCCGGUAGCCCAGGUUCGAGUCCUGGCGAGACCU